rnacentral:tRNA from 1 species
GGAAAGAUGCCAGAGCGGUUGAAUGGGGCGGUCUCGAAAACCGUUGUAGGUGAUAAAUCUACCGAGGGUUCGAAUCCCUCUCUUUCCG